rnacentral:lncRNA from 1 species
UUUUUUAAACCAGAGCAACACGUCACAUACUGGAGUCUCUAUCCUCAUAUAACUGUAUUGUUGUGACAGGAAGCUCAGGCUGUGGUAAAUCUUCAAACAUACAUCAUGCUGCCUUACACUUACGUGACAGUUUUGGAUAUGAGAUAAUACCAGUGUUAACAGGACCAACAGACAUUAUCAUUAUUAUAAUGCAAACAAAAAACAAGUGUUUAUUGUUGAUGACAUCUGUGGAAAGGAAACAAUCAACACACAAACAUUACAGACGUGGAGAGAUUAUUCAGAAAAAAUUGAGAAAAUAUUUAAAGUUGCAGAAAAAGAUGUUGCAAGUAAAAAUGAUAAAACGGUUUCAAAGGUAUCAAGUCCAAAAUUACUGCUGUCUUGUAGACUGCAUAUCUAUAAAGAAGCACAAUUUCAACGUAUUUCAUUAUUAACAAAAAAAGAAUGCAAUUUAUUAUUACCCGAGUUGUGUCUGCUGGAAG